UUUUUUUUUUAAUCAUCUUCCUUUCUCUUUUGGAGAGAAAAAUUGGUCACCUCCAGGACUGAGACCCUGACCCUUCCAAGCAUCCCCACUACCAAAGGCUGCCCAAGCCCGGAAGGAUCCCAUCCCGUUCUGUACUCUGAGGUCACUUCCUCACUCCGUCAAAUUUCACUGGACUGUGGGCUAAUUAAAAGUGCCUCCGUAUUAGCGGGGCGUGGUGGCCCAUGCCUAUAAUCCCAGCUACUUGGGAAGCUGAGGCAGGAAAAUUGCUUGAACCCGGGUGGCGGAGGCUGCAGUGACCCAACAUUGUGCAACAAGAGCGAAACUCCGUCUCAAAAAAAAUAAAAAAUAAAAAAGAGUGCCUCCCUGGGGAGACUGUAAUGCCCACUGGGCAGUGAUCCUAAUGCCCCUUGGGCAGUGAUCCUUAUUCCCCUCUCCCAUAAUGAUUGGUUGUAGCAGGCUGAACAAAAAGGUUGAGCUUCGCUUGUGCUUGCUGAAUAGAAUUCUCACGCCCACUCCACGUUAGCUCCCCUCACUGUAGGACUAGCUCUGAAAAUUCUAGCUCCUGUAGGAAGCCAACACAGACGGAUCUACAAGAACCAAAAACAGCUAUAGCUACUCUUCUAAAUCUCAGUGCCUGACAUUGCCUCUCUUUCUGCCUCCUCUCUCCACCCCCCAAAAAAUGUGGUCCUCCUUGACCUGAGGGAGCUUCCGUCCAAGUCUGAGCUCUGAUCAUCCUGAAGAAUCAAAGUAUCAUCAUCCCUUGGCUGGCAAGAUGAACUCCAACAUCAAAACACUUGAAACAGUAGUAUUUUUACACAAUUUGCCCACUGCCUCUACAUCUCACUUAGUCCUUGCAGUAACAUUUGGAUGAUGAGGUAACUUAUCCAGAAGCACAAAGCCUAAAGAAUGACAGAGCUUGGACUCCUGAGAAGUUCAGCUACUGCCCGCCUUAUGAUAACCAAAAGAAAGCGGCCGGGCGCAGUGGCUCAACUCCUGUAAUCCCAGCACUUUGGGAGGCCGAGGCGUGCGAAUCACAAGGUCAGGAGUCCGAGACCAGCCUGGCCAACACAGGGAAACCCCGUCUCUACUAAAAAAAACAAACACAAAAAUUAGUUGGGCGUGGUGGUGGGCACCUGUAAUCCCAGCUACUUGGGAGGCUGAGGCAGGAGAGUCACUUGAAUCCGGUAGGCGGAGGUUGCAGUGAGCCGAGAUCGUGCCACUGCACUCCAGCCUGGGAGACAGUGAGACUCCGUCUCUAAAAAAAAAUGAAUAAAUAAAUAAGAAGGCACACCACAAGUUCGAGACCACUUCUACAAA
rnacentral:lncRNA from 10 species